GCAAGUCGAGCGAACAGAUAAGGAGUUUGGUUCCUUUGGUUUUCGCGGGAGAGGGGAGAGUCACANGUGUGACACGUACGUAUAACAGUGAUAUCUCUUCGGGAAACCAGAUCUUAUACCAGAUAACCUUUGAAACCACGGGGCUCUGAUGAGAAACAGGGUUUUGCGAUCCUUUAUAAAUGGACCCCCGCCCUAUUACUUAUUUGGGGGGGAAAGGGUUUACCAAGGCACCAAUCCUUACCCAACCUGAAAGGGGGAUCGGC
rnacentral:rRNA from 1 species